rnacentral:lncRNA from 1 species
AGCCUUAUACUAAAUAAACUAAUCAGAACAUUAAAAUUCCAGUUUUCUGGACUAUUUUGAAAUACGUUAAUAGGCUAUUCUAUCAAUUACAACCAUUAAUUAUCAACAUGCAUCAAAAUAAGAUUCAAAAAUAACUCCUAUACUUUACUUUCAACACUGGCAACGAACAACAGUAGAACUACAUAUUCAAGCUCUUCCAUUUAUGCGUUUGUGAACCAAACACUUCACAGAGAUGGAUCUGAACAACUGGUGGUCAGAUUCAUCCCUUAGUCAUUCUUUAAUCUUCCUUCAAGUGUGAAUCAACAUUAAAAAAGAAAGAAAAACAAAGCAAAAAAUCAGUCCUCUAAAGCUGAACCAGGACAAAUAUAUAUCUUGUCACAACAAAUAAGUGAAAAGCUUGAAGUUCAUAAAGAAAAAUGAAAACAUCACAGAUGCUCUUAGCAUUAUUUCAGAAAAAUUGCAAAGAAUAGGCAGGAAUUCAAAUGCUUAACCACACUUACAAACAUAAACCAAUCAAAUGCCAGUAAUGGGAAUCUACUAAUAAAUGAACAUGAUUCUUUAACAUAAUAACUGUUAUUUACUCAUAAAAAGUUAUCAUAUACCUAAAACUAUCAUAGAACUGGUAGUAGGUUACCUCAAGACAACUUAAGGAAAUGAAUUUAUGACCAAAUGAAAGCCAGCAAUACUCAGACUAACAACAACAACUAGAACAACAACAAUACCCCAGAAUAUUUGACCACAACCAACUUUGAAUAACAGAGAUCAUGGGCUAGGAAAACAUGGAGCUAUUUCUGUUUUCAGAUUCACUUGUUCUACCCUAGAAUUCUGAAAUGUUAGAUAGUACAACAUCUUUUAACGACUGUAUGUCCUUUUUUUCUACCCAAUUUCAGCAUUUUCAUGCUAAAAAUGGGGACAACUAUUCAAUACUAGAACUUUUUGAUAUUUUCUCAUUUUAAAAUCUCAAUUUUACCCUUUUAAAUUUUUCUUAUUGCAAUUUUAAACCAAUCUGACCUGAAUUCUGAUUGUUUGAUUACCCAUUAACCCCUUCUAGAAGCUUCUGAUAUCAACCCUCUAUUUUAUUUCUCAAUUGGCCCAUUUUAGGUUCUUGUUAUUACCUUUUCAACCUCCUAAUUUCUAAUUGUUAUCAACUAAGGUUUAUACUGAAUUCUGAAUAACAAAUAAGGACACACAUCAGACCUCAUACCAAGCAAAUCAAAACUGCAUGACACAUAAUGUGAUUACAACCUUAGGGUUAAUUAAACAAUAACUUGUAAUAUAAAUUACUAACAUGCAUUUUAAGUAAUCUAAAUACAGAAACUAAUUUAGUUAAGUUGGUUCAACUGGACCAAACAAAGAGAGGUUAACUAAAUAACAGUAUUGUUAACUAGAGAAUUAUGCAAUUAAUCUGAACUAAACCUUAUUUUAAUGCAGUAGUAAAGAGCUAACCCAAUAAAAAGAAAGAUAAAACUUAAAACCUAAAAUGGUAAUCUAGAAAUAAUAAUGCAUGAGAAAAACAGAAAAGAAAAGGGAAAGAAGAACAAACGACUGAGUUUACUGAAAAUUAAGUAGGCAACUGAGGCGGGUCGAUGAGCUAUGCACACAUCGGAGCUUGGCUGGCCAAUAGGUACUUGGUUGGAGCGGCAAGUCUUGAAAUAAACCAAAACUAAUGCUAAUCGAUUGUUAUUGUCAAGAACAAUUGAUUGGCAAAAACUUUGGCUCAAAUCGAGCCUUUGAAACUGUAAAAAUACAAAAAAGGGACGGGUUAGGGUUUUGGCUUUCAUUCAGAAUUUUAGAUCUGAAAUUAGAGCAAAUGGGUAAAGAUUUUAGAGAAAUCAGUAAUAGAUAUAGGAUGAGGAGGUUAUUAUGGUUGUUUGGUGUUAAUUUGAGUGGGAUUGGAGGUGUUUAGGGCGGCGCCACCAGAAGGCGAUUUUCGGCGGCUAAGGUUCUUUGGAGAUGUGGGAGAUGAAAGACUGAAGAAG